rnacentral:rRNA from 1 species
UACGGGGGGAGCAAGCGUUGUUCGGAUUUACUGGGCGUAAAGGGCGCGUAGGCGGUCAGCACAAGUCAGUUGUGAAAUCUCCGGGCUUAACUCGGAAAGGUCAACUGAUACUGUGCGACUAGAGUGCGGAAGGGGCAACUGGAAUUCUCGGUGUAGCGGUGAAAUGCGCAGAUAUCAGGAGGAACACCGGUGGCGAAGGCGGGUCUCUGGGCCGUAACUGACGCUGAGGAGCGAAAGCGUGGGGAGCGAACAGG